AAAAAGUCCUUCGAUCAUGAAGUGAAGUUUGAAAAAACAAUACAGAGUAUAUACCUACCUAAGCUGUUGUCCAUGGGAUCGGUACUCCGUUGAUAGGAUUGUUUUUGCCUCCGAUCUAAACAGAAGUCGAUAAGUUUUUUAUUCGUGAGAAGUACAGAAUUCGAAAGAUUCGAGAUGAUUAGAUUAGCCAUAUUUUUCAAAGGAUUUUGUUUUCAAAUGAACGAUUCGCAAUUUUUGAUGAAUUUCUAUGAAAUAUUGAAAGGAGUGAAGACAUUUUUGAAAGAUAGGUAUGGUGUUGAUGGUUGAAUACAUUUUGAACUUUGAAGUUCAACACCUUGUAUUUCAGAGCUUUCGUUAUGAAAUGUAUGAUCCUUUACGUAUCAUAUGUCUUUUAACAUAUACUUAGUUAAUACUGUCAUUAGAAUAAUAAACUUAACAUUGAAGAUAUUUUUCUACAAAAAUCAAUUAAUGCUUGUUAUGUUUAUGUAGGCAUAUAUUUUCGAGUAUGUGUACUCGACGAAACCUUCUCAGAUUUUAUCAUUUUUACAAUUUACUUCGUACAAAUAAUGUUGAAUUUGACGUAAACUUUCGACUUUCGAGGUCAUCUGGAAGUUUUCCAUUACAAUUAUUGUAUCUCGUUGAACUGAAAUAUUAUCAACAAGAACUUGAAAUUGAAUUUUGAGAUUUGUUCUAUAAUCUAGACGACUGAUGAUCAUAAUUCCAACAUUUCUGACUGAGGAAGUGGGGAUCAUAUUACUAUAAGGCUGAUCGGAAGAUAAGGAUACUGGAAUUAGUUUUAAUCCGAGUGCAAACAUAUUGGCUUAAUUAUUUUGUACACAUCGGUAAUGCGCUUUAAUUUCAUGUGAAUCUUGAAACUGAAGAUUCUGUUUAUUUAUUUGAUGUGAUCGAAGAUACAGGACUUCAAAGUCUAGUUCUGGGCUAUUUUUAUGAGAUUUAAAAUCAGUACAUGGCCUAAAAAUAAAUCCUUAUCCUGAGAUUUCGGUUUGAAA